rnacentral:rRNA from 1 species
GGAGGUAGUGACAAUAAAUCACAAUGCGGGACUAUACGUCUUGCAAUUGGAUUGAGAACAAUGUACAACUCUUAUCGAUAAGCCAUUGGAGGGCAAGUCUGGUGCCAGCAGCCGCGGUAAUUCCAGCUCCAAUAGCGUAUAUUAACGUUGUUGCAGUUAAAAAGCUCGUAGUUGAAGUGUGGGUGAUCGCUAUUGUGAGACUUCGGUCUCUCGAUAGUAAGUCACCCCCUUCCAGUAUCCAGUAGUGGGUAUUCAGUUACUUACUAUUGUGUGUUGGUCCUUUACUGUGAGAAAAUUAGAGUGUUCAAAGCAGGCGUUUGCUUGAAUAGAUUAGCAUGGAAUAAUAAUUGAAGGCUUUCGUGUUCGAUUUGAUUGGUUUGUUCAUGGAAGCAAGGUUAAAAGGAACAGUUGGGGGUAUUCAUAUUCACUAGUUAGAGGUGAAAUUCUCGGAUUUAUGGAAGAUGAACAAGUGCGAAAGCA